UAACAGGAAAUUUAAGGGCGUACGGUGGAUGCCUAGACACAAAAUGGCGAUGAAGGACGUGGCGUUGCUGCGAUAUGCUUCGGGGAGGUGCUAAGCAACCUUUGAUCCGGAGAUUUCCGAAUGGGGAAACCCUAUCAAGUAAUCCUUGAUAAUUUUCUACGCAAGUAGAAAGAGCGCACCCUGGGAAGUGAAACAUCUCAGUACCAGGUGGAAAAGAGAAAAAUAUUUAUUUCCUUAGUAGCGGCGAGCGAAAAGGAAAAAGCCCAAACCAAAGUAGCAAUACUUCGGGGUUGUAAGACAGUAAUGUAGAUUACUAGAAGAGUCAAAAAAUAAGUUAUUAGUUGAAACUUUUGGAAAAGAGUACCAUAGAGGGUGAUAGUCCUGUAAACGAAAAUAACUUAUCUCUUUUAUUACUGUUCUUGAGUACUUCAGGACACGAGUGGCCGGGAGGAAUCUAGCGGAACUAACCGCUAAGGCUAAAUACGUUUUGUGAUCGAUAGUGAACUAGUACCGUGAGGGAAAGGUGAAAAGUAGUCCGAUUAGGACGAUGAAAUAGACCUGAAACCGUAUGUUUACAAGGAGUCGAUGCACAGUUUACUGUGCUACGGCGUGCCUAUUGAAGAAUGAGCCAACGAGUUUAUGCAUGUUGCUGGCUAAGUCCGCUAAAAGGACGCAGCCUCAGGGAAACCGAGUGUUAAUAGCGCGUAAUUGGUAAUAUGCAUAAGACCCGAAGCCAGGUGAGCUUGCCAUGAGCAGGGUGAAGUAGGUCGAAAGACUUAUGGAGGCCCGAACCCGUUCGUCGUACAACGCGUUGGGAUGACUUGUGGUAAGGAGUGAAAAGCUAAUCGAACCUGGUAAUAGCUGGUUCUCUCCGAAAUAGCUUUAGGGCUAGCGUCGUGUGUUCCUUUUGGGGGUAGAGCACUGGAAGGUUUCGACAGGGAGCAAUCUCGCGAAACUUAUCAAACUCCGAAUACCAAAAGCUAAAGCACGGCAGUUACACUAUGGGGGCUAAGCUCCAUUGGUGAAAAGGGAAACAGCCCAGAUCUCAAAAUAAGGUCCCUAAAUAUAUACUAAGUGUAAGACAAGAAGGUGGAAUUUCUCAAACAAUGAGGAGGUUGGCUUAGAAGCAGCCAUCCUUUAAAGAUAGCGUAACAGCUCACUCAUCUAGAGAUUUUGCAUCGAAAAUAAUUGGGACUAAGUAUAUUACCGAAUUUGAGGAUUUAAAGUUUUUUCGAAAAUUUUAAGUGGUAGGAGAGUGUUCCACUCUGCUGUGAAGGAGGACUCGUAAGAGCCUCUGGAGCGUGUGGAAGUAAGAAUGUUGGCACAAGUAACCGCAAUGGGGCUGAGAACGCCCCACGUCGAAAGAUCAAGGUUUCCUUGGUAAUGUCAAUCAGCCAAGGGUUAGUCGGGCCUAAGGGGAUGGUGAAAACCGGACUCGAUGGACACACGGUUAAUAUUCCGUGACUUUUGUGUAGAGUGAUGGGAGGACGGAACGUAGUAUGUUUCGCUCAUUAUUGGAUUUGAAGUUUGUGUCUUUAGGAAUCUAUGUAGGAAAAUCCGCAUAGUACCUUAAAUGGUGAUUUCCAAGAGAAGCAAAAAGUUUUAUCCUUCGGGGUAGGACAAUGAGACAAAGCACGUUUCCAAGAAAAUUCUCUAAACUUAUCUAUACAAAAUCCGUACCGCAAACCGACACAGGUGAUCAGGUCGAGUAGACCAAGACGAACGAGUGAGAGGUCUCCAAGGAACUCGGCAAAAAAUCAGCCGUAACUUCGGGAUAAGGCUUCCCCUUCUUUAUUGAAGGGGCGCAGCGAAAGUAUUCCUGGCAACUGUUUACCAAAAACACAGCUCCCUGCGAACACGUAAGUGGAUGUAUAGGGGGUGACGCCUGACCAAUGCCAGAAGGUCAAACAACGCCGUUGUGAGUAGCAAUAUUUAUGGUGAGUGUUGUAAGCCCUGGUGAAUGUCGGCCGUAACUAUAACGGUCCUAAGGUAGCGAAAUACCUUGUCGGGUAAGUUCCGACGCGCACGAAUGGCGUAAUGACUGGGAAACUGUCUCGGAGACCAGCUCGGUGAAAAUACAAUACCGGUGAAGAUGCCGGUUAAGUGCAGUUAGACGAAAAGACCCUAGAAGCUUUACUAUAACUUGAUAUUGGGUAUGUUAUUUUUCUGCGUAGAAUAUAAGGGAGACUUUGAAGUAAUUUUUUCGGGAAUUAUGGAGUCGACAGUGCAAUACCUUACUUAAAAGUGGCAUAUUCUAACCUUUCGGGUAAAAACCGAUUGAGACAGUAUCUGGUGGAUAGUUUUACUGGGGCUGUACCCUCCUAAAAAGUAAAGGAGGGGUUUAAAGGUAAUCUAGGCGCGAAUGGAAACCGUGCCGAUAGUGUAAUGGCACAAGAUUGCUUG
rnacentral:rRNA from 1 species